CCCAUUGUAUGACAGAAGUCACUGCUUUUAUACUACCCAUUGUAUUACAGAGGUACCUGCUUUUAUGCUACCCAUUGUAUGACAGAGGUACCUGCUUUUAUGCUACCCAUUGUAUGACAGAGGUCACUGCUUUUAUGCUACCCAUUGUAUGACAGAGGUACCUGCUUUUAUGCUACCCAUUGUAUGACAGAGGUCACUGCUUUUAUGCUACCCAUUGUAUGACAGAGGUACCUGAUUUUAUGCUACCCAUUGUAUUACAGAGGUACCUGCUUUUAUGCUAACCAUUGUAUUACAGAGGUCACUGCUUUUAUGCUACUUACAGAGGUCACUGCUUUAAUGCUACCCAUUGUAUUACAGAGGUCACUGCUUUUAUGCUACCCAUUGUAUUACAGAAGUCACUGCUUUUAUACUACCCAUUGU